rnacentral:lncRNA from 1 species
UGGAAAUGUGCACGUGAGUGGGCAAGGUGCGGUGUGUGAAAUGAUAAUAUGAAGUACAUGUGUGCAAGUGAUGAUAAAAGUAUUUGUGUGCAAGUGAAGGGAUAAAAAGGUGUACGUGUGCAAAUGAGGGGAGAAGUGUUCGUGUGCAAGUGAAGGGAUAAAGGUGUACGUGUGCAAAUGAGGGGAGAAAAUGAAAGUGUAAUGAUAGAGUGGAUGCAUGAACCUAGGGAAUUCAUGCAUAAUGGGUACGGGGAGACCUAAAUCGUGACUCAAUUUGCCCUUUGAUAGAGAGGAUACAAGCGUGCUAAGGCUUAGAAAAAGCCACACUCGUCUAUAUCCCAUUUUUAAGGGGAUUUCCACGCAGAUGAACCCUAACUAGCAUGAGAUGCAAGUCCUAAAGUGAAGGGGAAGGGGUUUGAGGAACAUACCAAAUGAUAAAACUAAUGAAAAAUGCGUGAUAUGUGGUGAUCAUGCAUUUAAUGAAAAAAAAAAAGGAAAAAAAACCUAUUGGGUCUAGCAUUGGACUAACCCAUCCUAUGAAUUCCGACUAGCGUUGGACUAGUGGAAACGAUAAAAGAAGCCACAACUAGCGUUGGACUAGUGUGGUGACGUACAUUCAUCCAUUCCAUUCAUCUAUACUACAAAAAGCGAGUAGACAUGCAAAUCACUUAUAAACACGUAGCACAUAACACUUACCAUGCUUGACUAGAUGCAAAAUCCUAAUAAAGCAUUUAACAUAUAACACAUAGGCAUGCAACCAUUACAUUUGCUAACUAAAACAAAGGGGAAAGGGAAAAUGGACCAAAUUACUUGCUACGCCCUAUCUAUUACAAGCCAAGAGGUGUACACAUACCCCAUUAUUAAAAAUCAAAAGUAAAUGAAAUAAAAUGAAAGGAAAUAAGGAGAGGCUAGGAAAGCAAGUAGAGAUGCAAAUUCCAAUUAGCACAUAAGUCCACAUAGGAGAGAAACAAAAGGGGUAAAAGAGAUUAUACCUCCCCGUUGGUGAUACUAAGGAAGUAACAAACUCAACUUGGCUAGAGUCACCCAAGAAAAGACUAACUUAGGCUAAAAUCACCAAAAACAAAAGAUUAAUGCACCAAUUUAGUGAUAAGAUAUAAACUAAACAAUUUGAAUCCACCAAAGAUCAAACUUUCCCUCAAUUGCAACUCAAUGAAGUCAAAACUACUUAAAGACCAAGGCAAAAAGCAUGAUCAUCCAAUCCCCAAGCAUAACAUCUACUAAAGACCCAAAAGCAAGCACUACUCAAUCAUUCAAGUCCAAAUAAAUCGUUUAAGCACUUCAAAGAUUCCGAAAAUAAAGAAAGAGCCAAACAACGAUUGAAGUUGCAAUGAUUUUAGGACUUACUUACAAGAUACUAAAACGUGCUUGGGCUAUUGUGGCAUAAAGAGAAACUUAGAGGGAUCAAAUUGAUUAAAUGUUCCAAUUACUUGGGCCAUAGUGAGUCAAGGGGGAACUUGGGAGGUCAAAGUGCAAAUUUUCACAUUUGAACGACUCCUAGUCCACGUAAACCAAUGAAAAAGGUUCGGGAGUCACAUUUGACGAAGGGGAAGGCAAGGAUGAAAAUCCAAGGCACCCCUUUGACCUAGCCAAGGCUAGUUGCAUUGAUUUAAUCAAAGAUUUUCUUGUUUUAACCAAAGAAUUUAUUACAUUUGGAUGCACUACAUGAAUGCAAACCCUAGACCUAGGGGUAUUGGGGGAAAUUUCCCUUCAAAGGUUGAGUGGUGCCAAUCACAUUAAUCGUGAAGCCCAAUAACGAUCCUUUGAAGAAGUCACGAAUAAUGCGAGUGGGAUGCAAAUGAAUGGGAUGCAUGUGUGCAAUGUGAGGACAUGAGUUUGAAAAAGUAAUAAAAGAUAAGAAUGUGUAAAUGGAAAUGUGCACGUGAGUGGGCAAGGUGCGGUGUGUGAAAUGAUAAUAUGAAGUACAUGUGUGCAAGUGAUGAUAAAAGUGUUUGUGUGCAAGUGAAGGGAUAAAAAGGUGUACGUGUGCAAAUGAGGGGAGAAGUGUUCGUGUGCAAGUGAAGGGAUAAAGGUGCUUGUGUGCAAGUGAAGGGAUAAAAAGGUGUACGUGUGCAAAUGAGAGGAGAAGUGUUCGUGUGCAAGUGAAGGGAUAAAGGUGUACGUGUGCAAAUGAGGGGAGAAAAUGAAAGUGUAAUGAUAGAGUGGAUGCAUGAACCUAGGGAAUU